UAGGGAAUACAGCCACCAUGUCGUCUGCACUGUUGCCUAAGCCCCAAAUGCGGCGCCUCCUGGCCAGGCGGAUGAAGUUUCACCUCUUUGGGGCAUUUUUUGUGUCUUUAGGAUGUGCGGCGCUGUACAAGUUUGGAGUUGCUGAACCCAGGAAAAAAGCUUAUGCAGAGUUCUAUAAGAACUAUGAUCCCAUGAAGGACUUUGAAGCCAUGAGGGCAGCUGGUGUGUUUGAAUCUGCGCCGCCCAAAUGAUGGCAGACUGCAUUUCCAGAUCCCGUCCCGUCUGAGGAGACUUGAUGACCGAACCUUACUUGUUCACUGAAUUAUCAAGUGUAAUGCACUUCAGUGCAUGACACACUCUAAUGUAUCUCAGUAAAUAAAAAAUGUACAUCAGUGGGGCUUAAUUGUCUUCAUUAAUGUCCAAAUGCUUAAAGGCUGGAAAGAGCGGUGGAAAGUCUUCAUAAACUGCUUUAGACAACCAAGUCUGUUUUUCUUUCCCCCAAGAAUUAUUUGCAUCUUUGUUUUGGCCAGGUUCCACAUUUGAUAACAAAGUAUAUUCUUAAGCAAUUACGGCUGGGAUGUCUUUGCUGAUUCUGGGAAUGUCCAAGAGGCUAGUUGUUACAGGAAGGGAGAGGCAGCAUUUCUGGAAGGGUCUCGCUUACCUCUGGCUUCAGAAGUGAAUGGACCUCGAGAUGAAAGAAACUGGAGGAAUUCUGGAAAUGCACCAGCCAACCUUCGUAUCUUUUUCUGGUGCCAUUGUUGUGUUGCCUUCCUUACAGCAGCAGAGUGUUCAAUCGAGACUUCGAAUCUACGCCGCUGCCCGCUCCUAUACAAGGACAAAAUCCAGUCACCAGCAGGAAUCUGGUGGGGUCGGUCUACAUGAAGCUUGCGUGUCUUUGUUGUCACCGUUCUACAUGAUGACGGCUCAUUCACUCGUAACCGAACGACCAAACAGCUCACAAAAACAACUCUUAUAGCAAUAGCUUUAUUAUCUUUAAACAAACUCUAUAUUACAAUUUAUGCACCAAUAUGCAAAAUUAGAAUUAUUAAACCAUUUCCAUAAAAUAUCAGGAAUGAAUUGUAUGUAUAUGUACACUUUUUCUUAAAAUAGUGUUAUUUAAACAAUGACUCAAUUAUUAAAUCACUAUGAAAUGUUGAUAAUUAAUAGGCUUAUUUCACAUUCAGAAAGAACAACUCAGAUCCCAGGCUACUGUAUUUCAGUACACAAGAGACACGGCUUUUAGAAAUAUCUUUUAACAAAGCAGAACUCACGAGAAAAACGUUACAAAUACUACAUUCUUAUGUACUGUGCUUUUGGUCAUAUCAGGUAUGCAUAGAAGGUAUUAACUAACUAAAGCAGAUGUGUUUGCUCAAAAUGAUCAGACUUGAUUCCAGUUCUUGUCUCUAAUUCUGGCCGUGUUCAGGAAUCCCCAGACAAAACGAAUGUCCAUAUACGUAUAACAGGGGAGAGAAGUUACAAGCACAGUUGAGAACCAAGCAGUUUUUUUUUUUUUUUUAAUAAAGCUGCUCUAGACAGAUUUGGUUUAUAAAGUAACCUCACUGUGCCUGGAGAGAAUGAUUUCUUGUCUACUACAAACUGUAAAACAUCUGAAAAUAAGACACUUAGAAAGCUCAUUUGUCUUGAUGUGUUUAACAUAGUAUUCUUAAGUGUACUGUGAUGGCAUCAUAACUAUUAAUGUAAUCGGACCCCGUGGGUCUUUACUUUUGGAUCAACCCGAAAAAAAAGAUCUCAUUUUGCUUAGCAGAAACAUAUCUGAAAGGUCGUAUUUCUAAAUAUCCUUGUUUUAAAUCACUUCCAAGAUGAUAAGCAAAAAAUGAAUUAGGGCUUAAUUGAACAUUUACUACAUGUAGUGGUGGCAGAUCAGAAGGGAGAGAGACCCAACAAGGCUAUAUUUAGCACCUGCACAUCUACGGUACAAUGAGCUUUAGAUUCUUAGUAGAUUUUAAGGAGGCGAAGCUCUGGUUCUUAAGUUUUUGAAUUGCAUGUUACUGGCUUCCAGCUAAUGACCAGACAAUGCACAAUGUCAUAUAUACAUUGAAAGUCCUGAAAAUUUGAUGGUGGAUGAAAUAAAGUUUCUGUAUACAGACAGUUUUAAAAAUAAAUUCAUGUUGUAGUUCAUGUUUUGUUCUCCAAACCAGACAAAGGCACUAGUUUACAUUAAGGACUAAUGUCCUGCAAAACUUCAGUCAAAUAAAGGAAGCUAUUUUAAGGUUAAAGUGGUGCUAAAACCCAGCUGUCACUAGUAACUUAAAACAGCCACACUGGGUUUUUCAGAUUUAGUGGGGGAAAAUGUUUUGCCUCAGGAUGUACAUGUUGGGGGGAGUGUGUGUGUGGGGGGAAGGCUCAGCCUUGAGCAAGUUUUUACAGCUGAGUUAUAAACCUGGUUUAUAACAGAAACUGGCAGACCCUAAAGUAUGAUAUAGUAUGUAUUGAUAUAUAUUUGGUGUGUGUGGCAAAAAUGACUCUGUGCACUCAAUUCUUCCUUAUUCCCUGAUUUUUGGUAAUUGAAAGAAAAAGGAUUUUGAUUGACCCAUAGUCCGAGGCUUUUCCCUUUCACUUCAUUUGUUUGCUAGAACACUUUCCUUCCAGCACUAGUAUCUUGGCCAGGGAGCAGGAAUGUUGUCAAGGUUAGAAAAGCUUAACUUCAUUAUAAUCUCCUACUUCAAAAAUUACAUGCAUCUCUACUCGACGUAGGUUACUGCAGAGAACGCAUUAUGCUCGAAAUGGUACGAUAUUACU
rnacentral:lncRNA from 1 species